UGAGGCCAUUUUAUCUGUGGGUAU
rnacentral:piRNA from 1 species